rnacentral:rRNA from 1 species
CCUACGGGUGGCAGCAGUGGGGAAUAUUGCUCAAUGGGGGAAACCCUGAAGCAGCGACGCCGCGUGGGGGAAGAAGGUCCUCGGCUUGUAAACCCCUUUUGUUAGAGAAGAUAAUGACGGUACCUAACGCAUAAGCCCCGGCUAACUCCGUGCCAGCAGCCGCGGUAAUACGGAGGGGGCCAGCGUUAUUCGGAUUCACUGGGGGUAAAGCGGGCGUAGGCGGGGUGGCAAGUCAGGUGUGAAAGCCUAUGGCCUAACCAUAGAACUGCACUUGAAACUGGGAUGCUAGAGUACAGGAGAGGUAGGCGGAAUUAGUGGUGUAGCGGUGAAAUGCGUAGAUAUCAAGAGGAAUACCGAUGGCGAAGGCGGCCUGCUAGACUGUAACUGACGCUGAGGCGCGAAAGCGUGGGGAGCAAACAGGAUUAGAUACCCCAGUAGUC